rnacentral:rRNA from 1 species
GAUGAACGCUGGCGGCGUGCCUAAUACAUGCAAGUCGAGCGAACAGAUGAGGAGCUUGCUCCUCUGACGUUAGCGGCGGACGGGUGAGUAACACGUGGAUAACCUACCUAUAAGACUGGGAUAACUUCGGGAAACCGGAGCUAAUACCGGAUAAUAUAUUGAACCGCAUGGUUCAAUAGUGAAAGACGGUUUUGCUGUCACUUAUAGAUGGAUCCGCGCCGCAUUAGCUAGUUGGUAAGGUAACGGCUUACCAAGGCAACGAUGCGUAGCCGACCUGAGAGGGUGAUCGGCCACACUGGAACUGAGACACGGUCCAGACUCCUACGGGAGGCAGCAGUAGGGAAUCUUCCGCAAUGGGCGAAAGCCUGACGGAGCAACGCCGCGUGAGUGAUGAAGGUCUUCUGAUCGUAAAACUCUGUUAUUAGGGAAGAACAAAUGUGUAAGUAACUAUGCACGUCUUGACGGUACCUAAUCAGAAAGCCACGGCUAACUACGUG